rnacentral:rRNA from 1 species
GACGAACGCUGGCGGCGUGCCUAAUACAUGCAAGUAGAACGCACAGUUUAUACCGUAGCUUGCUACACCAUAGACUGUGAGUUGCGAACGGGUGAGUAACGCGUAGGUAACCUGCCUGGUAGCGGGGGAUAACUAUUGGAAACGAUAGCUAAUACCGCAUAAUAUUAAUUAUUGCAUGAUAAUUAAUUGAAAGGUGCAAUUGCACCACUACCAGAUGGACCUGCGUUGUAUUAGCUAGUAGGUGAGGUAACGGCUCACCUAGGCGACGAUACAUAGCCGACCUGGGAGGGUGAUCGGCCACACUGGGACUGAGACACGGCCCAGACGCCGACGGGAGGCAGCAGUAGGGAAUCUUCGGCAAUGGACGAAAGUCUGACCGAGCAACGCCGCGUGAGAGAAGAAGGGUUUCGGAUCGUAAAGCUCUGUUGUAAGAGAAGAACGGGUGUGAGAGUGGAAAGUUCACACUGUGACGGUAUCUUACCAGAAAGGGACGGCUAACUACGUG